rnacentral:rRNA from 1 species
GAUGAACGCUGGCGGCGUGCCUAAUACAUGCAAGUCGAGCGAACGGACGAGAAGCUUGCUUCUCUGAUGUUAGCGGCGGACGGGUGAGUAACACGUGGAUAACCUACCUAUAAGACUGGUAUAACUUCGGGAAACCGGAGCUAAUACCGGAUAAUAUUUUGAACCGCAUGGUUCAAAAGUGAAAGACGGUCUUGCUGUCACUUAUAGAUGGAUCCGCGCUGCAUUAGCUAGUUGGUAAGGUAACGGCUUACCAAGGCAACGAUGCAUAGCCGACCUGAGAGGGUGAUAGGCCACACUGGAGGUGAGACACGGUCAAGACGCCUAAGGGAGGCAGCAGUAGGGAAUCUGACGCAAUGGGCGAAAGCAUGACGGAGCAAGGCCGCGUGAGUGAUGAAGGUCUUCGGAUCGGAAAAAUCGGUUACGAGGGAAGAACAGAUGUGUAAGUAACUGUGCACAGCUUGACGGUAACUAAUCAGAAAGCCACGGCUAACUACGUG